GACGAACGCUGGCGGCGUGCUUAACACAUGCAAGUCGAACGUGAUUUUGUGGAAAUUCUUUCGGGAAUGGAAAUGAAAUGAAAGUGGCGAACGGGUGAGUAACACGUGAGCAACCUACCUUACACAGGGGGAUAGCCGUUGGAAACGACGAUUAAUACCGCAUGAGACCACAGAAUCGCAUGAUAUAGGGGUCAAAGAUUUAUCGGUGUAAGAAGGGCUCGCGUCUGAUUAGCUAGUUGGAAGGGUAAAGGCCUACCAAGGCGACGAUCAGUAGCCGGUCUGAGAGGAUGAACGGCCACAUUGGAACUGAGACACGGUCCAAACUCCUACGGGAGGCAGCAGUGGGGAAUAUUGCACAAUGGGGGGAACCCUGAUGCAGCGACGCCGCGUGAGCGAAGAAGGUUUUCGAAUCGUAAAGCUCUGUCCUAUGAGAAGAUAAUGACGGUAUCAUAGGAGGAAGCCCAAGCUAAUAC
rnacentral:rRNA from 1 species